AAUGCAAGUCGAGCGGUAACAGAUCCAGCUUGCUGGAUGCUGACGAGCGGCGGACGGGUGAGUAAUGCAUAGGAAUCUGCCCGAUAGUGGGGGAUAACCUGGGGAAACCCAGGCUAAUACCGCAUACGUCCUACGGGAGAAAGGGGGCUCCGGCUCCCGCUAUGGGAUGAGCCUAUGUCGGAUUAGCUAGUUGGUGAGGUAACGGCUCACCAAGGCCACGAUCCGUAGCUGGUCUGAGAGGAUGAUCAGCCACAUCGGGACUGAGACACGGCCCGAACUCCUACGGGAGGCAGCAGUGGGGAAUAUUGGACAAUGGGGGAAACCCUGAUCCAGCCAUGCCGCGUGUGUGAAGAAGGCCCUCGGGUUGUAAAGCACUUUCAGCGAGGAAGAACGCCUAGCGGUUAAUACCCGCUAGGAAAGACAUCACUCGCAGAAGAAGCACCGGCUAACUCCGUGCCAGCAGCCGCGGUAAUACGGAGGGUGCAAGCGUUAAUCGGAAUUACUGGGCGUAAAGCGCGCGUAGGUGGCUUGAUAAGCCGGUUGUGAAAGCCCCGGGCUCAACCUGGGAACGGCAUCCGGAACUGUCAAGCUAGAGUGCAGGAGAGGAAGGUAGAAUUCCCGGUGUAGCGGUGAAAUGCGUAGAGAUCGGGAGGAAUACCAGUGGCGAAGGCGGCCUUCUGGACUGACACUGACACUGAGGUGCGAAAGCGUGGGUAGCAAACAGGAUUAGAUACCCUGGUAGUCCACGCCGUAAACGAUGUCGACCAGCCGUUGGGUGCCUAGCGCACUUUGUGGCGAAGUUAACGCGAUAAGUCGACCGCCUGGGGAGUACGGCCGCAAGGUUAAAACUCAAAUGAAUUGACGGGGGCCCGCACAAGCGGUGGAGCAUGUGGUUUAAUUCGAUGCAACGCGAAGAACCUUACCUACUCUUGACAUCCUGCGAAUUUGGUAGAGAUACCUUAGUGCCUUCGGG
rnacentral:rRNA from 1 species